AUUGAACGCUGGCGGCAGGCUUAACACAUGCAAGUCGAGCGAGCGGCGGACGGGUGAGUAAUGACUGGGAAACUGCCUGAUGGAGGAGUAUAACUACUGGAAACGGUAGCUAAUCCCGCCUUCCAUCAGAUGUGCCCAGAUGGGAUUAGCUCGUAGGUGGGGUAAUGGCUCACCUGGGCGACGAGCCCUAGCUGGCCUGAGAGGAUGACCAGCCACACUGGAACUAAGACCCGGUCCCAGCGCCUACGGGAGGCAGCAUUGGGGAAUAUUGCACAAUGGGCGCAAGCCUGAUUCAGCCAUGCCGCGUGUGUGAAGAAGGCGUUCGGGUUGUAAAGCACUUUCAGCGAGGAGGCGUUACUCAAAGAAGAAGCACCGGCUAACUCCGUGCCAGCAGCCGCGGUAAUAC
rnacentral:rRNA from 1 species